AGAGCAGCUGGCAGCGCGGCGGGCAGCGUUUGCCGAGCGGGCGCUCCGGGUCGCACGCAAGUCCGCGCGGGGUCCGGGCCACGCACGCGGUUUCAUCGCCAUCCCCAGCCGGGCCACGCGCGCAGGCAGACAAGCUGUUCGCGGCGACCGGAGAGCGCCGACACCAUGUGGAUCCAGGUUCGGACCAUGGACGGGAGGCAGACCCACACGGUGGACUCGCUGUCCAGGCUGACCAAGGUGGAGGAGCUGAGGCGGAAGAUCCAGGAGCUGUUCCACGUGGAGCCAGGCCUGCAGAGGCUGUUCUACAGGGGCAAACAGAUGGAGGACGGCCAUACCCUCUUCGACUACGAGGUCCGCCUGAAUGACACCAUCCAGCUCCUGGUCCGCCAGAGCCUCGUGCUCCCCCACAGCACCAAGGAGCGGGACUCCGAGCUCUCCGACACCGACUCCGGCUGCUGCCUGGGCCAGAGUGAGUCAGACAAGUCCUCCACCCACGGUGAGGCGGCCGCCGAGACUGACAGCAGGCCAGCCGAUGAGGACAUGUGGGAUGAGACGGAAUUGGGGCUGUACAAGGUGAGCCUCCCCUCCGCAGCUGCUCUGGGGUUGGACGUUCUCCCUGCCAUUCUGGUCUUUGCAUACCCAGGGCUCACAGGAGGGGCUUCCCACGCGCCUCUCUAGCUCUGGCUGGGCAGAAAUGGCCAAGGGGUGGUUUCCUGCACGUUCCUUGAGGGGAACAUGGUACCCUGGGAUUCCUUUGUGGACCUCUAGAGCAGAGUCCUGUUCGGGGCCUGCAGGUGUCUUCUCCGUGAAGCUUGCAGUGGCUGUGACGUUUCUGAACUUGCUGCUACCAUGUAAGAUCAGGAAAUGUCACAGAAAGAUCUGGGUUUCCAGCUUUUUUAUUUUUUUAUUUUUUUUUUGGCAGGGUCUCACUUUGUUGCCCAGCCUGGGGUGCAGCCGUGUGAUCACAGCUCACUGUAGCCUCGAACUCCUGGGCUCAAGUGAUCCUCCCACCUCAGCCUCCUGAGUAGCUGAUGUUAUAGGCAUGUGCCACCACGCCCAGCUAAUUUUAUUUUAUUUUAUUACUUUUUUAAUACAUGGUCUCAUUCUGUCGCCCAGGCUGGAGUACAGUGGUGCCAUCUCGGCUCAUUGCAACCUCCAACUCCUGGGUUCAAGCAAUUCUCGUGCCUCAGCCUCCUGAGUAGCUGGGAUUACAGGCAUGUGCCACCACACCUGGCUAAUUUUUGUAUUUUUUGUAGAGACGGGAUUUCGCCAUGUUGGCCAGGCUAGUCUUGAACUCCUGGCCUCAAGUGAUCUUCCCGCCGCAGCCUCCCAAAGUGCUGGAAUUAUAGGUGUGAGCCACUGCACCCAGUCUGUUUUAUUUUUUAGUAGACACAGCGUCUUACCAUGUUGCCCAGGCUAGUCUUGAAUUCCGGGGCUCAAGCGAUCCACCUGCCUCGGCCUCCCAAAGUGCUGGUAUUCCAGGCGUGAGCCACGACGCCCUGCCUGGAUUUCCAGCUUCUCUUGACAAAUGGGCAGCUCUGGUCUCUCAGGGCCUCCCAGCAGCUGUGGCUGAAGCAGAGCCGCAGGGGCCUUUGUUAAGACAGUCCAUGCCCCCUGGCCCCGCAUCCCCGUCACCCCUGCCGGGGCUGGUUUCUCAUGGUCAGCGGUUCCCAGCCAGGGAGGAGAAACCUCGCUGUGGGCAUUCGAGUUUGCGCCCUGGUUCCAGAGCAUCCCAGUGUCCGAGAACCAAGGUGGUCUCCCGUCAGUUUUCCUCACCCCGUUGGGAUGCCAGACUUCCCUCAUUCCUCACAGGUCAAUGAGUACGUCGAUGCUCGGGACACGAACAUGGGGGCGUGGUUUGAGGCGCAGGUGGUCAGGGUGACGCGGAAGGCCCCCUCCCGGGACGAGCCCUGCAGCUCCACGUCCAGGCCGGCGCUGGAGGAGGACGUCAUUUACCACGUGAAAUACGACGAGUGAGUCAUGGCAGGUGGGCGGGCCUGGGUAUUCAGGCUCUGUGACGCGCAUCCUUGGCUGCGGGUGUUCAGGCCAGAGCUUGGCACUGUCUCGAGAUGGUGAUCAGGAUCUGGGGCCCCAUCCUCGAAUUCCUAACAGCAUACGAGGCUGCCCACUUGGGGACUAGCCUGGGGACCCGAAGCCGGCUGCCCCCUCCUGUGUCUCCGCGGAGGGUUCUGCUCGAUCAGUGGCUGAAACUGCCACCCCAUCAGUUUUUCUGUUUUAUUCCAUCUUCCGGGUUUGUCAUCUCUCCCUCAUCCCCACCCCUAACGUCAGUCUCCAGUCUUUGCACAAGUGUUUACUGGGCACUUCCUACCUGCCAAGUUCGGGGUCCACACACCAGUGGACACAGAUGGUGGCUGCGUCUGUCCGUGCUGCCAUCGUGAGAUUUCACAGACGGUGUGGCUUAAACACGGACAUUGGUUGACUUGCUCACUGCAACCUCUGCCUCCUGGAUUCAAGCGAUUCUCCUGCCUCAGCCUCCUGAGUAGCUGGGACUACAGGUGCCCGCCACCACACCCAGCUAAUGUUUGUAUUUUUAUUUUAUUUUAUUUUUAUUUUAUUUUUUCGAGACAGAGUCUUACUCUGUCACUCAGGCUAGAGUGCAAUGGCGUGGUCUCAGCUCACUGCAACCUCCGCCUCCCAGGUUCAAGCGAUUCUCCUGCCUCAGCCUCCCAAGUAGCUGGGAUUACAGGUGUGUGGCCACCACGCCUGGCUAAUUUUUGUAUUUUCAGAAGAGAUGGGGUUUCACUAUGUAGGUGAGGCUGGUCUCAAACUUCUGACCUCGUGUUCCGCCCGCCUCAGCCUCCCAGAGUGUUGGGAUUACAGGUGUGAGCCACUGUGCCCAGCUUAUUUUAUUUUUUUGAGACAGUUUCACUCUGUCCCCCAGGCUGGAGUGCAAUGGUGUGAUCUUGGCUCAUUGCACCCUCCAUCUCCCGGGUUCAAACGAUUCUCCUGCCUCAGCCUCCCAAGUGGCUGGGACUACAGGCGUGCACCACUGCGCCCAGCUAAUUUUUGUUUUUGUUUUGUUUUUGAGACAGAGUUUCACUCUUGUUGCCCAGGCUGGCGUCAAUGGCGCGAUCUCGGCUCACCGCAACCUCUGCCUCCCGGGUUCAAGCAAUUCUGCCUCAGCCUCCCGAGUAGCUGGGAUUACAGGCAUGCGCCACCACGCCUGGCUAAUUUUGUAUUUUUAGUAGAGAUGGGGUUUCUCCAUGUUGGCUGGUCUCCAACUUCCGACCUCAGAUGAUCUGCCUGCCUCAGCCUCCCAAAGUGCUGGGAUUACAGGCAUGAGCCACCGUGCCCGGCCAUGCCUGGCUAAUUUUUGUAUUUUUAGUAGAGGCAGGGUUUCACCGUGUUGGUCAGGCUGGUCUUGAACUCCUGACCUCAGGUGAUCUUCCCGCUUCGGCCUCCCAAAGUGCUGGGAUUACAGGCGUGGGCCACCUUGCCCGGCCUCUCCUCUUGUUCUAAAGACACCAGUCCUGUUGGAUUGGGGCCCACCCUACUGCAGUGUGAUCUCAUCUUAAUAUGAUUUCAUCUGCAAAGGUUCUAUCUACAAAGACCCUGUUUCCAAAAACAAUCCUAUUCGUGGGUACUGGGGAUCAGCCUUUGAACAUCUCUUUUUGCAGGGGACACGGGCAACCCAUAACAAUUUUGUACCUGGAAUGUGCCUUAAUAUACCUGUGUGUUCUCAACACCAGCAUAUAAGCCUGUUGGGAGGGGCCUCUGCACACUGUCGGGAGGGGCCGUCCCACCUCGGCUCGUUUCCCAUUGAGGGAAGGAGGCUUGGUCUUAGCACGGGGUCUAAGGCCCGGGCUUUCCUCCCAGCUACCCGGAGAACGGCGUGGUCCAGAUGAACUCCAGGGACGUCCGAGCGCGCGCCCGCACCAUCAUCAAGUGGCAGGACCUGGAGGUGGGCCAGGUGGUCAUGCUCAACUACAACCCCGACAACCCCAAGGAGCGGGGCUUCUGGUACGACGCGGAGAUCUCCAGGAAGCGCGAGACCAGGACGGCGCGGGAACUCUACGCCAACGUGGUGCUGGGGUGAGCCUCGCGUCCUGGGGCGAGCCCUUCCUCUCUCCUUUCCUCCCCUCCCGGGGCCCCCGGACUGGCUUUGAAGCCGUCCAGCCAGCGCUGUGUGUGCGAGGCCCUUAGCCUCCGGCCUGGCCUUCCUGCCUCCCCUCUGGGGUCUGUUCCUGCUCACUGCUGAGCAUCUUUCUAAGACCGACCACCUUGUGCCCCUGAGUGCCUCUGCCCAGGGAACUGUCUCUGACCCCCAGGCCCUGACAGGCAGAGUUGUCAAACUUCCUUUUUCUCAUGGUGUUUUUUUUAUCGCUCUGUUGCCCAGGCUGGAGUGCAGUGGUUCGAUCUCGGUUCACUGCAAGCUCUGCCUCCUGGGUUCAUGCCAUUCUCCUGCCUCAGCCUCCCGAGUAGCUGGGACUACAGGCGUCUACCACCACACCUGGCUAAUUUUUUUGUAUUUUUAGUAGAGACGGGGUUUCACCGUUAACCAGGAUGGUCUCGAUCUCCUGACCUCGUGAUCUGCCUGCCUCGGCCUCCCAAAGUGCUGGGAUUGCAGGCAGUGAGCCACCGUGCCUGGCCUCAAGCUUUCUUUUUCUCUCUUGUUUGUUUCAAAUUUGGUGAAUAGGUCCCAUUCACAGGGUCAAAAUAGAAAGCACCCAAGACCACACAUGAAGGUUCUCCCUCCUCUGCCUGGUCACCCAGUUCCCCUUUUUGGCGACAUCACUGUUACCAACUUUCCAGGGACAUUCUGUUCAUAAACAUACACGCCAAACCACACCGCUUAGGAGUUGGCAAACUGCAGUCCACAGGCCUGCUGUGGUCCGCUGCCGGCUUUGACUAAUAGUUUUAUUGGGACGUGGUCACACCCAUUUUUAUCUUAUUACCUGUGGUUGCUUUUGUGUUAUAAGAGCAGAGUUGUGUAGUUGCAACAGAGACUAUGCGGCCUACAAAGCUGAAAAUCCUUCCUAUUUGGCCAUUUGCAGAAUCAUUUUGCAAAGCCUGUUCUUUCUCCCUUGCCUCUUUGUGUGUGUGUGUGCGUGUGUGUGUGUGUGUGUGUGUGUGAUAAAAUGUAUGUAACAGAAAAUUUACCUUUUUUUUUUUUUUAAAAGACAGAGUCUCCCUCUGUCGCCCAGGCUGGGGUAUAGUGGCAUGAUCUUGGCUCACUGCAGCCUCCGCCUUCCAGGUUCAGGUGAUUCUCCUGCCUCAGCCUCCCAAGUAGUUGGGAUUACAGGCGCCCGCCACCACGUCUGGCUAAUUUUUGUAUAUAUAUAUAUAUUUAGUAGAGUCUGGGUUUCACCAUGUUGGCCAGGCUGGUCUCGAACUCCUGACCUCAAGUGAUUCGCCCGCCUCAGCCUCCCACAGUGCUGGGAUUACAGGCAUGAGCCACUGCGCCCGGCCAAAAAUUUACCAUUGGAACCAUGUUUAAGCGCACAGUUCGGUGGCAUUAAACGCAUUUACGUUGUUACGCAACCAUCUCCAGCACUUUGUCCUCUUCCCAAACUGAAACUCUGACUCCAUGAAACACUCACUCCCUAGCCCCUGACACCUCUGCAUCCUACUUUCCAUCUCUGUGAAUCUGACAACUCGGGGGACCUCCUAGGAAUGGGAUCACACAGGAUUUGUCCUUUGCAUCUGUUCACUGACGUCACUGAGUGUGAUGUCCUUGAGGUGCAUCAGGCUGUAGCCUGGUCGGAAUUUCCCUCCUUUUUGUGGCCGAGUGAUAGUACGUGACGUGUUGUCUAUAAACACGAGCAUCUUGGCAACGGCGUUCCAAGUACAGGUACAGCAAGCACGCAGAGGUCCUGGGCUGGGACAUUUAUGGUGCAUCUGUGGCCCGGUAGGGAGGUCAGUGAGCUGCGGGUGAUGGAGGGGAGUGGCUGGGGCUGUGGGAGCCUCCUCACUGAGUCUGGGCCUUAAGCGCGUGGCUCGGGUGUGGUGUGGAAUUGGUCUUUAUUCUCUGCUAGGCGCAUUUCUGAAUCUGAGAUUUUCUGAGAAACUAUCUGGAUUGUUAUAUGGAAUCUGAUUUUUAAAUGCUGGUGACUAACUUUUUUUUUUUGAGACAGAGUCUUGCUCUGUCACCCAGGCUGGAAUGCAGUGGCAGGAUCUCUGCUUACUGCAACCUCCACCUCCCGGGUUCAAGGGAUCCUCCUGCCUCACCCUCCUGAGUAGCUGGGACUAUAGGUGCCCACCACCAGCUAAUUUUUGUAUUUUUAGUGGAGACAGAGUUUCACCAUGCUGCCCAGGCUGGUCUUGAACUCCUGACCUCAGGCGAUCCACCCACCUCAGCCCCUCAAAGUGCUGGGAUUACAGGCGUGAGCCACCGCACCCAGCCUAUCUGGUUUUAUAAAGGGCAGUUCCCCUGCACACACUCCCUUGCCUGCCGCUGUGUAAGAUGUGCCUGUGCUCGUUCACCUUCCACCAUGAUUGUGAGGCCUCCCCAGCCAUGCGGAACUGUGAGUCCAUUAAACCUCUUUCCUUUCUAAAUUACCCAGUCUUUAUUAUUUAGUAUGUCUUUAUUAGCAACAUGAGAACAGACUCAUACAACCCCUUCCAAGCUCUUGUGGUGGCUGAUAUAAUCCACUACUUUGCGGUUGAAGGAUGGGGGCUUCAUUUUUUUUUUUUUAACUUGGUUCUUGGAGGCCGCCUGCAGUUCCCAGGGCCCACCUGCAGUUCCUUGCCCCAUGGGCUUCUCUGAUGUGGCUACUGAUGUCAAGCUAGCAAGGGAGGUCUUCAGCUAGUCGGCUAGUAAGAUAUAGAGCAUCGUGUGAUGUGUCAUCGUCCCAGGAGUGACAGUCCGUCAGCUCUGCUGUAUUUUAUGGGUUAGGUUUAAGUGACAGCCCUGUCCAUACUUUUAUGGGGAGAAACGCCUACAAAUGCGUGGUUGCCAGGAGGUGGGGGUUGUGGGGCCACCUUAGGCUCCAUCCGCACCAGUUAUACACCAGCUGCUGCCCGUUUACCCUGAGACAGAUAACCUGCCCAGCCAGCACCCACGGGCUUCCUCCACCUCAGUCCCUCCCCUAGCAGAAGAAAACUGCAUUUCUGCACAUUGACUGUCACAAGGCAGGGGUGUCACCAGGCAGGGAAACGAAGAUACCUGGCCGACCACACCUUGGGGUGUUUGGGUUCUUCGAUUCAUUCAUGCUUGUGUCCCGAGCCCUCUGGGGAUGCAGGAGGCACAGCGGGAAAGGGAACAGGUGCUCGGUCCAGGCGGCCUUGGGGCAGACACUGUCCCUUGCCAGCCCCAUGGGAGCUUCCAGGGAUGCAGUGAGAGGGUCACGCUGAGCCGAGUUGUGCCUCGCAAUGAGUUUGUGAUGUGUGCCCAUCGUUAGCACCUUCGACUUCUAUCAUCUGCUGAGUCAGGCAUCAUACAAGAUGAGACAGAGAAACGCGAUUGCAGUCCCUGUCUUAGGAGGCACCCAGCCUGGUGUGGGAGACAGAUCUGCAGAUGACAGACCAGGGAGAUGCGUGCUCUGAGACAACACGCGAGGAUGGGUGGCAGAGAUGGCCGAGUGGACUCUGGGAUUGGGAGGCUCAGAUAGGUGGCUGAGCCCCAGGUCCUGCUCUGGGCAGUGCUAGGAGCUACCAGCCUUUGCCAGGGCUGACUUCUAAAUGCAAGCCCUCUACACUGGUGUCUCUGCAGUGUGGGGGGUCAAUUCAUUCAUCAUUCAUUUUCAUUAAAUUUUACCUUGCAUUGUAGAUUCACAUGCAGUUAUAAUGUAGAGAUGGCUAGGCGCAGUGGCUCAGGCCUGUUGUCCCAGCACUUUGGGAGGCUGAGGUGGGAGGAUCGCUUGAGCCUGGGAGGUUGAGGCUGCAGUGAGCCGUGAUCACACCACUGCCCUCCAGCCUAGGCAACAGCAAGAGAGUCUGCAAAAAAAAAAAAAAAGUGAAAAGAAAAAAAAACAGGCUGUGUACCCUUUAUUCAGUUUCCCCCAGUGGUAACAACUUAUAUUAAUAAACUAUACUGUGUUAUCACAACUGGAAUAUUGACAUUGAUACAGUCAAAAGUGAGUUUCCUCCUCACAAAAUCCUUCUCGUUACCCCUUUUAUAGCCAAACCCACCUCCCCAUCCCCACCUGGUCCCUGACCCCCGGCAAGCAAUAAUUUUUUUUUUUGUUGGAGACGGAGUCUCGCUCUCUUUUGUUCUCCAUUCAUACAAUUUUGUAAUUUCAAGGAUUUUACAAUUUCAACUUUGUAAUAAGGAUUCCCGUUAUAUAAAUGGAAUCACACAGUAUGUAACCUUUUGGGAUUGAUUCUUUUUUUCCCGACUCUCCAUAAUUACAGAUUAAUUGAAGUUACCGCAUAUCAGUAGCUCAUUCCUUUUCAUCCCUGAGUAGUAUUCUGUGGUAUAGAUGGGCCACUUUUUUUUUUUUUUUUUUUUAACGACCCAUUGGAUAUCUGAGCUGCUUCCAGGAUUUUUUGCUGUUUAAGAUUUGUUUAUUUUUUUGAGACACAGUCUUGCUCUGUUUCCCAGGCUGGAGUGCGGUGAUGUGAUCUUGGCUCACUGCAACCUCCGCCUCCUGGAUUCAAACGAUUCUCCUGCCUCAGCCUCUGGAGUAGCUGGGAUUACAGGUGCGUAUGCCAGCACACCCAGCUUAUUUUUGUAUUUUUAGUAGAGGUGGGGUUUCUCCAUGUUGGCCAGGCUGAUCUUGAACUCCUGACCUCAGGUGAUCCGCCCGCCUUGGCCUCCCAAAGUGUUAGGAUUAUAGGCGUGAGCCACUUCGCCCGGCCAGUUUAGGAUUUAUUUGAGUAAGUUAAUAAGAAACAGUGGUCUGCAAUUCUCUUGUUUUGUAUGGUCUUUGUUGGUUGGUCAAUACCAGCCUUAUAAUGUGAGCUGGGAAAUGUUUAUUCCUUUUUCUGUUUUCUGGAAGAGAUUGUGUAAAAUUUACGUUAAUUCUUCUUUAAAGGUUUGAUAGAAUUCUUUAACGAGACCAUAGGCUGGGUGCAGUGGCCGAUGCCUGUAAUUUCAGCACUUGGAGAGGCGGAGGUGGGCGGAUCACUUGAGGUUAGGAGUUUGAGAACAGCCUGGUCAACAUGGUGUGAAAUCCCCGUCUCUACUAAAAAUACAAAAAUUAGCUGGGCUUGGUGGUGUGCACCUGCAGCCCCAGCUACUUGGGAGGCUGAGGCAGGAGAAUCGUUUGAACCUGGGAGGUGGAGGUUGCAGUGAGCUAUGAUCAUGCCAUUGCACUCCAGCCUGGAUGACAGAGCAAGAUUCCGUCUCGGUGGGGUGGGGGAGGAAGGGAAGCUUUACUGAGGCCAUGGAGAUCUGGAGAUGUCUUCUGGAGGAGCUUUUAUGAAUUGAAUUUCUUCUAUGCUUAUGUGACUGUCUGGACUAUCUGUUUCAUCAUGUUUGAGCUGACAUACUUUCUGGGUUUUGGGGAAUUAGCCGGUUUCUCUGAGCAUAAAGUCAUUUGUAUUAUUUCCUUAUUCUCUGAUGCCUGAAGGAUCUAGUGAGAUCCCUGUUUUAUUCUUGGUGUUGGUAAUUUAUGUUUUCUUUUUAUUUUUGUCAGUCUUUACCAAUUUUAUUUUUGAGGAUCUUAGACCUUUCCCUCCCUUCUCAUUUAUUUGUACAGCAAGAAUAAGACAGUUUUUUUUUGUUUGUUUGUUUGUUUUGAGACAAGGUCUCACUCUGUCACCCAUGCUGGAGUGCAGUGGCGUGAUCUCAGCUCACUGCAACCCCCAGAUCCUGGCUUCAAGCGAUCCUGACCUCAGGUGAUCCACUCGUCUCGGCCUCUCAAAGUGCUGGGACUACAGGCAUGAGCCACUGCACCUGGCAUAAGAGUUUUGUUUUGGUCAGGUUUUUUUUUUUUUUUUUUUUUUUUUUUUUUUGAGAUAAGGUCUUGCUCUGUUGCCCAGGCUGGAGUGCAAUGGCAAGCUCUCAGUUCACUGUAGCCCCAACCUCCUGGGCUCAAGCAAUCCUCCAACCUCAGCCUCCCACGUAGCUGGGACCAUAGGCGUGCACCACCAUGCCUGACUAAUUUUUUUUUUUGUUUUUUGAUGAGACAAAGUCUCGCUCUGUCACCCAUGGUGGAGUGCAGUGGCACGAUCUUGGUUCCCUGCAACCUCCACCUCCCGGGUUCAAGCGAUUCUCCUGCUUUAGCCUCCCGAGUAGCUGGGAUUACAGGCGUGCUCCACUGCACCUGGCUCAUUUUUUUUUGUAUUUUCAGUAGAGACAGGGUUUCACCAUGUUGGCCAGGCUGGUCUUGAACUCCUGACCUUAGAUAAUCCACCCGCCUCAGCCUCCCAAAGUGCUAGGAUUACAGGCAUGAGCCACUGCACCCGGCCAUUUUUUUUUUUUUUUUUUUUUUAAUUUUCGGUAGCAAUGGGGGUCUGGCUAGAUUGGUCUCGAACUUUUGAGUUCAAGUGAUACUCCUGCCUCAGCCUCCCAAAAGGUGCUGGGAUUAUAGGUAUGAGCCACUAUACCCAGUCUUAGAAUAUGUUUUUCUUUCUUUUUUUUUGAGACGGAGUCUUGCUGUUUGCUGUCUCACCUAGGCUAGAGUGCAGUGGUGCAAUCAUAGCUCACUGCAGCCUUGAACUCCUGGGCUGAAGCAAUUCUCCUGCCUUAGCCUCCUUUUCCUUAACACUUAAUUUGUUGAGGAAUCCUGGUCAUUUGUCCCAGGAGUUCCAAAUGGCUCUAUCCAGACUGUAGAGAUGACCAGGAGAUGUCACUUGCUGUGUGCGUCUGUGCUACCUGUGAGCUGGUAGGUCAGUGUGUUCCCACACUGUCCCAUAGCCAAGAGCCACCUGUGCUGUGCUUGAAAUGUGGCCAGGAGGAACUGGAAUGUACUGUGAGUGUAAAAUACACAUGGGUGCCAGGCGCAGUGGCUCAUGCCUGUAAUCCCAGUACUUUGGGGGGCCGAGGUGGGCGGAUCACAAGGUCAGGAGAUCGAGACCAUCCUGGCAAACACGGUGAAACCCCGUCUCUACUAAAAAUACAAAAAAUUAGCCAGGCGUGGUGGCGGGUGCCUAUAGUGCCAGCUACUCAGGAGGCUGAGGCAGGAGAGUGGCGUGAACCCGGGAGGUGGAGCUUGCAGUGAGCCGAGAUCGUGCCACUGCACUCCAGCCUGGGCGACAGAGCGAGACUGUCUCAAAAAAAAAAAAAAAAACACAUGGGCUUUCAGAGACCUGGUACAAAAGAAGAAUGUAAAGUAGCUCAUUAAUAACUUUUUCAUAUUCAUUCCAUGUUGAAAUAAUCUUUUGUCUACACUGGGUUCUAUGGAACAUAUUCCAAUUACUUCCACCUAUGUUUACCUCUCAAACGUGCUUAUUAGGAAAUUUAGAAUUACAUACACAGCGUGUGUUCAAGUGCUGUUUCCCUCGGACGUUGCUGAUGGGGAUGUCGGAUUAUUGAUCUCGGGGGAUCAGUUUCACUCACAGGAGUUCUUGUAUUUUGAUGUAGGCCAUUGGAUCAAGCGUUGCCUUUAUGAUUUUUUUUUUUUUUUUUUUUUUUUGAGAUGGAGUCUUGCUCUGUCGCCCAUGCUGGAGUGCAGUGGCGUGAUCAUCUCAGCUCCACAACCUCCAUUUCCCAGGUUCAAGCGAUUCUCCUGCCUCAGCCUCCCGAGUAGCUGGGAUUACAGGCACGGGCCACCAUGCCCAGCUAAUUCUUGUAUUCUUAGUAGAGACGGGGUUUCACUAUGUUGGCCAUGCUAGUCUCGAAGUCCUGACCCUCGUGAUCCACCCACCUUGGCCUCCCAAAGUGCUGGAAUUACAGAUGUGAGCCACGGUGCCCAACUUGAUUUAUUUAUAUAUUUUUUUGAUGAGAUGGAGUCUCACUCUGUCGCCCAGGCUGGAGUGCAGUGGCACGAUCUUGGCUCACUUCAGCGUCUGCCUCCUGGGUUCAAGCAAUUCUCCUGCCUCAGCCUCCUGGGUAGCUGGGAUUACAGGUGCGCGCUACCAUGCCCAGCUAAUUUUUGCAUUUUUAGUAGAGACAGGGUUUUACCAUGUUGGCCAGGCUGGUCUCGAACUCCUGACCUCAGAUGAUCGGCCUGCCUCGGUCUCCCAAAGUGUUGGAAUUACAGGUCUGAGCUACCAUGCCCGGCCAACCUUUAUGAGUCUUGCUUGUCGGUUCUUGUGGAUUUGGUGCUCCUUAGCCAAAGGUUCAAACUCAUUCUUCCCAGGGCAUCCUGCAAUGAAACUCUGGUUUCUGUGUUUUGUUUUUUUUUUUUUUUUUUUUUUUGAGACUGAGUCUUGCCCUGUCGCCCAGGCUGGAGUGCAGUGGCGCGAUCUUGGCUCACUGCAACCUCUGCCUCCCGGGUUCAAGUGAUUCUUCUGCCUCAGCCUCCCGAGUAGCUGGGAUUACAUGCGCGCUUCUCCAAGCUCAGCUAAUUUUUGUAUUUUCAGUGGAGGCGGGGGUUCACCAUGUUGGCCAGGCUGGUCUCGAACUCCUGACCUCGGCCUCCCAGUGUUGGUAUUACAGGCGUGAGCCACUGCGCCCUGUUCCGUUUCAUGUUGCUUCUGUGAGUGCAGCUUUGAUUGCUAGGGGGCGUAGCUGAGCUGUUGCCCCAGGCAUCCCGAGAACCCGUGGUGUUCAAGUGCUGUGAGUAGAUUUAGGGGCCUCGGCAGGCCAGAAUGUUCCAGCGUCCUCGUUCCUUGCAGGGAUGAUUCUCUGAACGACUGUCGGAUCAUCUUCGUGGACGAAGUCUUCAAGAUUGAGCGGCCGGGUGAAGGGAGCCCCAUGGUUGACAACCCCAUGAGACGGAAGAGCGGGCCGUCCUGCAAGCACUGCAAGGACGACGUGAACAGACUCUGCCGGGUCUGCGCCUGCCACCUGUGCGGGGGCCGGCAGGACCCCGACAAGCAGCUCAUGUGCGAUGAGUGCGACAUGGCCUUCCACAUCUACUGCCUGGACCCGCCCCUCAGCAGUGUUCCCAGCGAGGACGAGUGGUGAGUGCGGCCCUGCCCGCCGCGGGGAGACCAGAGCGCCCCCUACAAAUCCCCAGAGGGGCACUGAGGAGAUACAGGAGAGGGGCAGGCGCGGGGGCUCACGCCUGCAAUCCCAGUGCUUUGGGAGGCCGAGGCGGGAGGAUCACUUGAGCUCAGGAGUUCAAGAGCAGCCUGGGCAACACAAGACCAGCCUGGGGGACGUAGAGACUCUGUUUCUUUUUUUGUUUGUUUUUUUGAGACGGAGUCUUUUUUCUUUUCUUUUUCUUUUCUUUUUUUUUUGCGGCGGAGUCUCGCUGUCUCCCAGGCUGGAGUGCAGUGGCGCGAUCUCAGCUCACUGCAAGCUCCGCCUCUCGGGUUCACGCCAUUCUCCUGCCUCAGCCUCCCGAGUAGCUGGGACUACAGGCGCCCGCCUCCACGCCUGGCUAAUUUUUUGUAUUUUUAGUAGAGAUGGGGUUUCACCUUGUUAGCCAGGAUGUUCUUGAUCCCCUGACCUCGUGAUCCGUCCGUUUCGGCCUCCCAAAGUGCUGGGAUUAUAGGCGUGAGCCACCUCGCCCAGCCUUGAGACGGAGUCUAAUGGCACGAUCUUGGCUCACUGCAACCUCUGCCUCCCGGGUUCAAGCAAUUCUCGUGCCUCAGCCUCCCGAGUAGCUGGGAUUACAGGUGCCUGCCACCACAUCCGGCUAAUUUUUGUAUUUUUAGUAGAGACGGGGUUUCACCAUCUUGGCCAGGCUGGUCUCUUAACUCCUGACCUUAAGUGAUCUGCCUGCCUCAGCCUUCCAAAGUGCUGGGAUUACAGGUGUGAGCCACCAUGCCUGGCCUGGAGACCCCAUUUCUACAAAAAAUGUAAGAAAAUUAGCUGGGCGUGGUGGUGCUCGCCUGUGGUCCCAGCCACUUGGGAGGCCGAGGUAAGAGGAUCGGAUCGCUGGAGCCCAGGAGGUCGAGGGUGCAGUGAACUGUGAUCGCGCCACUGUACUCCAGCCUGGGUGAUGGAAGUGAGACCCUAUUUCUUUAGAAAAGUAAAAAUGAGGUCAGGUGCAGUGGCUCAUGCCUGUAAUCCCAGGACUUUGGGAGGCUAAGGUGGGUGGAUCACGAGGUCAGGAAAUUGAGGCCAGCCUGGCCAAGAUGGUGAAACCCCGUCUCUACUAAAAAUACAAAAAAGUUAGCCAGGCGUGGUGCCACGCGCCUGUAAUCCCAGCUACUCGGGAGGCUGAGGUAGGAGAAUCGCUUGAACCUGGGAGGCGGAGGUUGCCGUGAACUGAGAUCGCGCCACUGCACUCAAGCCUGGCGACAGAGUGAGACUAAGUCUCAAAAACAAAAAAAAAGGGGGGGUGGUGAGGAAAUCUUCCCAUGUUGCUUGAGUGGGUGAGACCUGCGGCCAGCCAGGGAACAGAGUGCAGGGGGCUUCACAGCUUCUGUGAGAGGAGGUUUCGUAGCCACUGUGUUCCUGGCGCACAUAAUGACAAUUGCGGAUGUGGAUGGGGAGGUUGUGAUGUGCUAGGCUCGGGUCUGAGGACCUGCCUGUGGUCAUUCCUCCAGCACAGAAGUGGGUGUUGUUGUUGCCCUGCCCCCCCUCCCCACAUCGUAGAGAUGGGGAAACUGAGUCCACGGCAGUGAGAAGGCACUCAUGGAAUCUGCACGUGUAUUUCCCACAUCCCACAUUGCGUUCACUCUCACUGUUGCAAGAUCCGUGGAAUUCUCCGUGGAAGGCCAACAGAGAACCUGCUUUCUUUUUUUUUUGAGAUAGAGUCUUGCUCUGUCCUCCAGGCUGGAGUGCAGUGGUGCAACCUCGGCUCACUGCAACCUCUGCCUCCUGGUUUCAAGCGAUUCUCCUGCCUCAGCCUCCCAAGUAGCUGGGAUUACAGGUGCCCACCACCAUGCCCGGCUAAUUUUUGUAUUUUUAGUAGAGAUGGGGUUUCACCGUGUUGGCCAGGCUGGUCUUGAACUCCUGACCUCAGGUGAUCUGCCCGCCUCGGCCUCCCAAAGUGCUGGGAUUACAGGCGUGAGCCACUGUGCCUGGCUUAGUUCGAAUGAAUUUAAAUGUAAACAGCCUCGUGUGCCAAGCGGCCUGCAAUGUGGACAGGGCAGGAUGGUAGUGGUGCCAGGCGGGGAGAGCCAUGUCCGUGGUGUGUGGGCAGAGGGCACAUGUUGGCUGAGACAUCUGCCAGGCUAGGCGUGGGCAGUGACAAUCCCGACCUCGCAGGUACUGCCCUGAGUGCCGGAAUGAUGCCAGCGAGGUGGUACUGGCGGGAGAGCGGCUGAGAGAGAGCAAGAAGAAGGCGAAGAUGGCCUCGGCCACAUCGUCCUCACAGCGGGACUGGGGCAAGGUGAGGCGGGUCCUUCCCACGUGCCCGUGGCCCCUCCCCGCCUGCCAGGGCUCACGCUGUUGUUCUUUGUGUCUGUGCCUGGGACAGGGCAUGGCCUGUGUGGGCCGCACCAAGGAAUGUACCAUCGUCCCGUCCAACCACUACGGACCCAUCCCGGGGAUCCCCGUGGGCACCAUGUGGCGGUUCCGAGUCCAGGUACCUGCAGCGUCCCGGGGCUCCAGGGGCCACGCGGGCUCAUCCUGCUUUUCUGGGGGCAGUUUCUCCUGGCUUUGGCCAGCCAGGGGUCAGGGUGGUUACCAGUGGUGCCUCGGCUAGCCGAGGAGGGGUGUGGAAAGCCUGCAGGUUUGGGUUUACUCCUUAUUUUACCAGGGACCUGCAAUGAAUCCUUGGGGGUGGGGGCUGCUGCUCUGCUCAGAGACACGUAAGGUCAUUCCCAAAGCUCCUGUCCCAGGGAAGGGGUGGCAUCUGCUAAGAGGGACCUGUCUCAGCGCUGGUUGUGAUCUAUCAUUGGGGCAGCCCCUGCCUGUGACUGGGUGUUGACAGUGCUGGGCGCUGUCAGCUGUGGGCUGUGUGUCACGGCAGACGAGACACUUUGGCACUAGUGACAUUGGAGCCAGAUGGUUCUCUGGGGCGGGGCCAUCCUGGGCACUGCAGGGUGCUGAGCAGCAUCUCUGGCCCCCACCCACUCCAUGUCCUCCCAAGUCAUGACAACCAGAAACGUCUGCAGACAUGAGUGUCCCCUUGGAGGCAGGAUUGCCCCUGGGUGAGAUGCACUGAGCUGGGUGGACAAGCUGGGCCUCAUCAUGGAGUUCAUGGGGCCAGGCGUGCAGGGCUAGGAGCUCCUGGGGCAGCGCUGUAUCCCUAGUGCUCAGCGGCCAGCCGGGGCCCCAUGCUCAGGCCAGGGCCUCUCAAGGCAUUUUGUGGAGUGAGUGGCAGGCUGCACCUCAACCGGCCUAAUGAAGGCCGGCUUUUAUAUCAUAACCUCAUUUAGAACUCAGUCACCCCCACUUUUAUUUUUUUUGAGACGGAGUCUUGCUCUGUUGCCCAGGCUGGAGUGCAGUGGUGCGGUCUUGGCUCACUGCAACCUCCCUCUCCUGGGUUCAAGCGAUUCUCCUGCCUCAGCCUCCCCAAUAGCUGGGAUCACAGGGACAUGCCACCACGCCCAGCUAAUUUUUGUAUUUUUGGUAGAGAUGGGGUUUCACCUUGUUGGCCAGGCUGGUCUUGAACUCCUGACCUCAAGUGAUCCACCCACCUCGGCCCCCGAAAGUGCUGGGAUUACAGGUGUGAGCCACCGUGCCUGGCCGUCACCCCCCAUUUUCUAGAGGCCGAAGAGGAGCAUCGGAGAUCAGCAGUGAGGAUGCCCCGUGCACGCUUGAUGGGGCUGGAAUUCACGCCAGCUGGUUUUUUUUUUUUUUUUUCCAUGGUGCAGCUCAACUCCGGCCGUCUCUAGCCGAGCAGCACACGUAGUAGGUGACUCGCAGGCCUGAGGAGUUUGGUGUAAAAGUGAGGCCGCUGGCUGCUCGGGGUAGGGAGGAGGAGGGCGGUGGAGCUUCUCUGCAGCAGUCAUUGCAGAGGACACCAUGUAUAUCUUGGUGGCAUCCUCAGGUCAGCGAGUCGGGUGUCCAUCGGCCCCACGUGGCUGGCAUACACGGCCGGAGCAACGACGGAGCGUACUCCCUAGUCCUGGCGGGGGGCUAUGAGGAUGAUGUGGUGAGUGUGUGUGUGGGAGGGGUGGGGGAGGGUUGCUCUAGUUUUUUGGAUGGUGGUAAAAUACAUAGAACAAAAUUUCCCAUCCUAGCCGUUUUUAAAUGCUUGGUUCCCGGUGGCGUGAAGUAUAUUCCCAUUGCUAUGCAACCAUCACCACCACCAUCUCCAGAACUUUCUCAUCUUCCCAAACUGAAACGUUGUCUCCACGAAGCACUCACUCCCCACCCCCUCCCAGUCCCUGGCACCGCCCAACCUGGUUCCUGCCUCUGUGACUCUGACGACUCUGGAGACCUCCUGGGAGUGGAAUCGCACGGCCUGCGUCCUUGCAUGCCUGGCUCCUCUCACUGAGCCCGACGUCCUUGCUUUGUCCAUGUUGUCGCAUGUGUCCGGAUUCCCCUUUUGUUCACGGCUGAGUCCUAUUCUGCCGUGCGGAGGGACCAUGCUGUGUUGAUCUGUCUGUCCGUGGGCACUGGGGUUCCUUCCCCUUUCGACUGCUGUGAAUAGAUCUGCUACGAACACGGCUGUACAAGUAUCUCCAGCCCCCGUUUUCCAUUCUUUUGGGUGUAUAUCCAGAAGUGGAAUUCAAGACUCCUGUGAUAAUUCCAUGUUGAGUGUUGUUUUUUUUUUUUCUUUUUUUUGAGACCGAGUCUCAUUCUGGCUGGAGUGCAGUGGUGUGAUCACAGCUCACUACAGCCACUACCUCCUGGGCUCUAGUGAUCCUCCCAUGUCAGCCUCCCAAGAAGCUGGGACUACAGGCAGGCACUGCCACGCCAAACUAAUUUUUGUAUUUUUUUGUGGUGAUGGGGUUUCGCCAUGUUGCCCAGGCUGAUCUCGAACUCCUGGGCUUAAGCGAUCCUCCCGCUGCAGCCUCCCAAAGUGCUGGGAUUACGGGUGUGAGCCACCAUGCCCAGCCCUCUGUUUAAGUUUCUUGAGGACGCACCACACUGUUUGUAUAGUCGCUUUGCCAUUCUGUAGUCCCACCAACAGUUUACAAAGGGCUCCAAUUUCCCCACAUUCUCACCAACGCUUGUUAUUUUCUGUUUCUUUGAAAGUAGCCAUCCUGGGGAGUUUGCUUUCAAUGCAGUCUCUUUUUUUUUUUUUGCCUCUGCAGAGGGUUCACCCAGCCUUCUUGUCUGUUUCAGGACCAUGGGAAUUUUUUCACAUACACGGGUAGUGGUGGUCGAGAUCUUUCCGGCAACAAGAGGACCGCGGAACAGUCUUGUGAUCAGAAACUCACCAACACCAACAGGUUUGUGGAAUCAGCCUUCUUAUUUCCUUGCUGAUGCAUAUCUGCCGAGUCUUGGUUCUGUUUUGGGCCUCAUGUCCAGCAAGUGAUAGUCUCAUUAGGAGCGUGGUAGAACAUAGCGAAGCCUGGCAUUUGGUUCCUCCCUCUGUCUCCCAAAGUGCUGGGAUUACAGGCGUGAGCCACUGCGCCUGGUCUGGUUCCUCCCGUAUGUGUGCCACAUACCGUGAGCCAUUCAGAUGGAUGAAAGCAAACUUCCCUAUAAAAGGCCAGAUAAUAGAUAUCUUUUUUUUUUUUUUUUUUUUUUUUUUUUUGGGCAGAGUCUCGCUCUGUUGCCCAGGCUAGAGUGCAGUGGUGCACUCUCUGCUCACUGCAACCUCUGCCUCCUGGGCUCAAGCGAUUCUCAUGCCUCAGCCUCCUGAGUAGCUGGGAUUACAGGUGCUUGCCACCUCGCCUGGCUAAUUUUUGUAUUUUUAGUAGAGAUGGGGUUUUGCCAUGUUGGCCAGGCUGGUCUCGAACUCCUGACCUCAGGUGAUCUUCCCUCCUCGGCCUCCCAAUAUUGGUAUUACAGGCAUGAGCCACUGCGCCUGGCUGAUAGUAGGUAUCUUAAUGCUGGGCCUGGUGGCUCACGCCUGUAAUUCUCGCGCUUCAGGAGGCCGAGGCUCGAGGAUACCUUGAGUUCAGGAGUUCAAGACCAGCCUGGGCAAGGUAGUGAGACAACCCAUCUACAAAAAGUAAAAAUAAAAAAAUUAGCUGGGUGUGUUAGCAUGUGCCUAUAGUCACAGCUAGUCAGGAGGCUGAGGCAGGAGGAUCACUUGAGCCCAGGAGGUUGAGGCCGCAGUGGGCUGAGAUUGCACCACUGCACUCCAGCUUGAGCAACAGACUGAGAUCUUGUCAAAAAAAAAAAAAAAAAAACCCCUCCAAAAUAGAUUGCUUCAGCUAUGCAGGUCACACAGUCUAUUCAGAGAACCUCUUCAGCUCUUGUGUCGUAGCACAAAAUCAGCCAUAGACCAUAUGUAAGUGAGUGAGCAUGGCUGUGUUUCAGUGAAUUUUAUUUGCAAAAGUAUGUGAUAGGCCAGAAUUUGCUUGGCCCCUGAUUACAGGAUGGGGGCGGACUUUUCCAGCAUAAAAACCAUCAUAAAGCCCAAAGGAAAAGACAGAUUUGAUUAUCUAAACAUUAUAAAUAUAUUACAUAAAUAAAUCCUAUAAAUUAAAAGGCAGAUGACUAGGAGGAGUUCUUGACAUGACACAUGAUGAUAGUGUCUUUAUCAUAUAAAGAGCUGUUGCAAAUCAACAAGAAACUCAUAGAAGAGCUGGGUGCGGUGGCUCACGCCUGUAAUCCCAGCACUUUGAGAGGCCGAGGUAGGUGGUGGAUCACCUGAGGUCAGGAGUUCAAGACUAGCCUGGCCAACAUGGUGAAACCCUGUCUCUACUAAAAAUACAAAAAUUAGCUGGGUGUGGUGGCAGGCACCUGUAAUCCCAGCUACUUGGGAGGCUGAGGCAGAAUUGCUUGAACCCAGGAGGCGGAGGAUGCAGUGAGCCGAAAUCAUGCCAUUGCACUCUUGCACUCUAGCCUGGGUAACAGGAGUGAGACUCUAUCUCAAGAAAGAAAGAAACUCGUAGAAGAAAGCAAAGAGGCCAGGCGUGGUGGCUCACGCCUGUAAUCCCAGCACUUUGGGAGGCUGAGGUGGGCGGAUCACGAUGUCAGGAGAUCGAAACCAUCCUGGCUAACAUGGUGAAACCCCAUCUCUACUAAGAAUACAAAAAAAAAAAAAAAAAAAAAGCCUGGUAUGGUGACAAGUGCCUAUAGUCCCAGCUACUCGGGAGGCUGAGGCAGGAGAAUGUCAUGAACCUGGGAGGCGGAGCUUGCAGUGAGCCAAGAUUGCUCCACUGCACUCCAGCCUGGGUGACAGAGCAAAAAAAAAAAAAGAGAAUAUGGAAAUAAUGCACAAAAGAAGUGCAAAGUUGUAAUCAAAUACAAACUGAGGCUGUGGUGAGAUACUAUUUGUUUCCCCUAUAAAGUUGGCCAAAAAUUCUAAAAUGUUGACAUAGGUCAGGGGUAAAAUAGCAUUCCACUGUUGGUAGAAAUACAAAUUGGAACCAUCUUUCUGGAAAUCUCUUCUGCCUGUUUGUAUGAAGAGCUUUAUAAAUGAUCUAUUCUUGUCACUCUAACUCCGCUUUGAAAAAUGUCUUUAGGAGACCUCUGGCUAGGUAAAAAUGUAAGAUGUAAUGUUUUUCAUACCAUUAUCUAAAACAAUUGGCACAUAGACACACACACACACACACACACACACACACACUCUCACAAAGUCAGUAACUAAGUACCUAAAAAAGACAUGGGCCAUGGGUGGUGUGUCACAUGCCUGUCGUUCCAGUACUUUGGGAGGCUGAGGUGGGAGGAUUGCUUGAGGCUAGGAGUUUGAGACCUACUUGUGCAACAUAAAAUUAUGAAAAAUUAAAAUUACAAAAAAGAAUUUCAAAAAAGUUAGCUGGUUAUGGUCGUGUGGGCCUAUAGUCCCAGCUUGGGAGCCGGAGGUGGGAGGAUGGCUUGAGCCCAGGAGGCUGCAGUGAGUAAGGCGUGAUCAUGCCAUUGCAUUCCAGCCUGGGUGACAGAGUGAGACACCCUUUCUCUUUUUGUUUGUUUUUUUUUUAUAUGUGUGUGUGCUUUGUUUUGUUUUUUUUGAGGCAGGGUCUCCCUCUCUUGUCCAGGGUGGAGUGCAGCAGUGUGAUCGUAGCUCAUUGUAGCCUCCACCUCCUUGGGCUCCACUGAUCCUCCCACCUCAGCCUCCAGAGUAGCUGGGACUAUAGGUGCAUGUUACCACGCCUGGCUAUUUUUUUUUUUUUUUGUGGAGAUGGGGUUUUGCCACGUUGGCCAGGCUGGUCUUGAACUCCUGGGCUCAGGCAAUCCUCCUGCCUUGGCCUCCCAGAGUACUGGGAUUAGAGGCGUGAGCCACGGCACCUAGCAACCCUGUCUCAAAUAAAUAGUAGGCUGGGUGUGGCCUAUUUUAUAAAUUAUACAUAUAUAACUUUGAAAUAUUAAAUUUUUUUUUUUUUUUGAGACAGAACCUCACUCUGUCACCCAGGCUGGAGUGCAGUGGCAUAAUCUCGGCUCACUGCAACCUCUGCCUCCCAGACUCAAGCGAUUCUCCUGCCUCAGCCUCCUGAGUAGCUGGAAUUACAGGCACGCGCCACCACGCCCGGCUAACUUUUGCAUUUUUAGCAGAGACGGGGUUUCACCAUGUUGGCCAGGCUGGUCUCGAACUCCUGACUUCAGGCGAUCUGCCUACUUCAGCCUCCCAAAGUGCUGGGAUUACAGGCCUGAGCCACCACUCCCGGCUCCUGUGUUUCCUUUUUUGGGGGGUACAUCCUCACCUAUAAUGCGUGGGGUCCUGACUCUCCCUGCAGGGCGCUGGCUCUCAACUGCUUUGCUCCCAUCAAUGACCAAGAAGGGGCCGAGGCCAAGGACUGGCGGUCGGGGAAGCCGGUCAGGGUGGUGCGCAAUGUCAAGGGUGGCAAGAAUAGCAAGUACGCCCCCGCUGAGGGCAACCGCUACGAUGGCAUCUACAAGGUGAGUGCCCCUUGAGGAGGCCGGGGGCUCUGUCCCCGCCGGGGCUGCCUCUGAUGGAGCUGACGCUGAUGCCCGCUCUCUGCAGGUUGUGAAAUACUGGCCCGAGAAGGGGAAGUCCGGGUUUCUCGUGUGGCGCUACCUUCUGCGGAGGGACGAUGAUGAGCCUGGCCCUUGGACGAAGGAGGGGAAGGACCGGAUCAAGAAGCUGGGGCUGACCAUGCAGGUGUGUCUGGGAUGGGGGAUGGCACUUUGGGAGGCCAAGGCGGAUGGAUCACUUACGUUAGGAGUUCAAGACCAGCCUGGCCAACAUGGUGAAACCUCAUCUCUACUAAAAAUACAAAAAUUAGCUGGGUAUGGUGGCGGGUGCCUGUAAUCCCAGCUACUGAGGUGGCUGAGGCAGGAGAAUUGCUUGAACCCAGAAGGUGGAGGUUAUAAUGAGCUGAGAUUGCGCCACUGCACUGCAGCCUGGGUGACAGAAUGAGAGUCCAUCUCAAAACAGGAGCACUGCCGGGCUCCAUGACGGCUCUGACACUUCCCGCCUGGGCACCAUGUGUCCUGCUUGGAGGCUGUCAUCCUUGAAGGUCAUUGUGGGUCACAGAAUGGGCCCUGCCUGGGCUUGUGGUGCUCAUGUUCUGGACCGCGCUGAACACUCCAGGAGGCCUCCCGUCUCGGGCCCAUGCUUCCCUGGUUUCUCUCUGAUCCAGAAUAAUUUCCAGGGCCCCAGCUGAUGGCACCCCCCUAGCUGUCCCAUAUAAAUCCUCCAGCCAGGGGGUGAUGGGAACGCGCAGAUGACAUUUGCUUCUCCGCCUGCCGCAUCUCAGAGUUGAAAACCAGACUUGCUUGUCUUCGUUCUGUUGGUAAAGGGAUCGCUGCAGACCAGUCAGGCAUCUGGUGUCUUCUGUUUUCACUUCUUGGCUCAUCACAAAAAAAAAAAAAAAAAAGCAGAAACAAACCAACCAAAUUGGUGGAUUCCAGAGAGAUCUGGACGGAAAAAUGGGGAAGAUGAAUAUCCCCGAGCCAUCUCUCACCUCCCUGUGGCGAUGGGAACUGCCGAGAACUUACUCAACAAGCGGCGCAGCAUUUCAGCACCAGUUAGGAUGUGGUCUGUCCAUUGCAGGGAGAAGCUUUACAGCAGACGAAUCGUGAGACUAUUUAAGGAAUCUUAAUUGCUGUCGAGAGCCUGAUGUCCUCUACCCGAGGGGGUCACUCAGGUUGUCUUUUGAAUGGAUUUGUACGGUGGGGAAUUUCAGAAGCUGAGGAAGUAGAGAGAAAAAUAGUAAUGGGAGAGACAGCCUCAGCUUCUGUUGGGAGUAGGAUUUUUUUUGUUUGUUUGUUUUGAGAUGGAGUCUUGCUCUGUCGCCCAGGCUGGAGUGCAGUGGUGGGAUCUCGGCUCUCUGCAACCUCUGCCUCCCAGGUUCAAGCCAUACUCCUGCCUCAGCCUCCUGAGUAGCUGGGAUUACAGGUGCCCACCACCACGCCUGGCUCAGUUUUUGUAUUUUUAGUAGAGACGGGGUUUCACCAUGUUGGUCAGGCUGGUCUUGAACUCCUGACCUCAGGUGAUCCACCCGCCUCUGCCUCCCAAAGUGCUGGGAUUACAGGCGUAAGCCACCGCUCCCAGCCUUUUUUUUUUUUUUUUUUUGGAGACAGAGUCUCACUCUGUCGCCCAGGCUGGAGUGCAGGCAUGAUCUCGGCUCAUUGCAACCUCCACCUCCCAGGCUCAAGCGACUCUCUCAUCUCAGCCUCCUGCAUAGCUGGGAUCACAGGUGUGUACCACCAUGCCCAGCUAUUUUUGUAUUUCUAGUAGAGACGGGGUUUCGCCAUGUUGGCCAGGCUGGUGACCUCAGGUGAUCCACCUGCUUCCACCUCCCAAAGUGCUGGGAUUACAGGUGUGAGCCGCUGACCCUGGCCAGGAUUUUUUUUUUUUUUAUGACUCUCAUCUCCAUUGUAACAUAAAGAAUGUGAAAGGAGCUCAAAGAUUUCCUGAGACACUGGAGAGUCAGACGUGACUUAUAGGUACCUUCGAAAUGGAGCGAUGAUGCCCUGUGAGGACAGAGAGGGCCCGAGUCCUCAGAAUCACCAGAGUUUGGCCAGCUAAGGCCCUGGGGUCAGGUGUUCGUAAGUGAAGUUUCUGGGGAAACAGUCAUGCUCAUUCACUGAAGUAGCCUGCUCUCAGCGCUUGCAGUCCAGACCCAUAAGGCUUGAAAACAUUCACCCUAGGGUCCCUGGAAGCAAAAGUUUGCCUGCCCUCAUGGAAAUCGUAAAGACAACGAGAUCUUAUUGGUGGGAUGUGAUGCUGAACACGUCACCCGCGUUCGCUCACAUUAAAUGCGCUUACCCCGACCCUGCCAGGUGGAGCUUGGCCGAUUAUCUCCUCUUAGUCUCCUCUUGUUCGUAGUGAAGCUUUGCGAUUAGACAGGAUUAGCCAUUGGUCGAGGCUCCACAGUUAACGAAGAGCUGAAUGCACAGGCGUCCCCCCCUUACCAGGGGGACACUUCGAAGGUCCUCAGCACAUGCUUGAAACCAGAGAGUACCAAACCGUUGAUGUAUAAUUUUUUUUCCAUACGUUUGGACUGGUGAUUAAGUUUAAUCUAUAAAUUAGGCACAGUAUGAGAUUCACAACCUCUCUUUCGCAUCUUAGGCUUCUCUUUAGCAUUUCCAAAUUGUCAGCAUCCCUACUCUUGCACUUUGGGGCCAUUAUUUUUAUUUUUGAGACCAGGUCUCGCUCUGUUGUCCAGGCUGGAGUGUAGUGGUGUGAUCAUAGCUCACUACAGCCUCAAACUCCUGGGCUCAAGUGAUUCUCCUGCCUCAGGCUCCUAAGUAGCUGGGACUACAGAUGCACACCACCAGGCUCGGCUAAUUUUUUAAAUUUUUUUGUAGAGAGGGGAUCUUGCUAUGUUGCCCAGGCUGGUCUCAAACUCCUGGGCUCAAGCGAUCCCCCUGCCUUGGCUUCCCAAAGUGUUGGGCUUAUUUAAUAAAAAUUAGAAUGUUUAAUAUUAAUAUUUUAUAUUUAGCCUGUAAUCCCAGCAUUUUGGAUGACUGAGGCAGGUGGAUCACUUGAGGUCAGGAGUUCAAGACCAGCCUGGCCAACAUGGUGAAGCCCCAUCUCUACUAAAAAUACAAAAAUUAGCUGGGUGUGGUGGCGGGCACCUGUAAUCCCAGCUACUCGGGAGGCUGAGGCAGGAGAAUCGAGAAGCUGGACAAAGGGAAGGUUCACAUCCCUGUGGGACGAUGCAAUGUUUCAUCAUGCAGUGUGCGUGAUGUGAGGUGGCUGUAAAGGGGGAGGAAGGGGCCCCGAGCCGAGGGAUGCAGCGCCUCUAGACGUUGGACACUUAGAACAGUGUGCAGUUUACAACUUAGGAAUUGUUUCUAGAAUAUUUCAUGUAACAUUUUCAGUUGACUUUGGGUCACUGAAACCUCAGCAAAACUAGAUAAGGGAGGACUACCCUGUGCUCUUCAGGGGGAUUGGGGGUCAGGUGUGUCUGGAAACCCAGACCUGGCAAGGAGGCUGGAAGAGCGGGCUCUGCAUAGCGUGUGGGCCCCAAGCCUGACUCACGGCUGUCCCUCUUCCUCCUGAAGUAUCCAGAAGGCUACCUGGAAGCCCUGGCCAACCGAGAGCGAGAGAAGGAGAACAGCAAGAGGGAGGAGGAGGAGCAGCAGGAGGGGGGCUUCGCGUCCCCCAGGACGGGCAAGGGCAAGUGGAAGCGGAAGUCGGCAGGUGAGAAUCUCGUGGGUGUGGGGUGAGCGUCUUGUGUGUGGGGGAGCAGGUGGGCAUCUCGCGGGUGUGGGGUUGAGGUCGUGUGGACGUGGGAGCCGGUGGCUGUCUCUCCGGCAGCUCGGGCCACGCGCCCCUCCCUCACGCGCCCCACCCUCUUCCAGGAGGUGGCCCGAGCAGGGCCGGGUCCCCGCGCCGGACAUCCAAGAAAACCAAGGUGGAGCCCUACAGUCUCACGGCCCAGCAGAGCAGCCUCAUCAGAGAGGACAAGAGCAACGCCAAGCUGUGGAAUGAGGUCCUGGCGUCACUCAAGGACCGGCCGGCGAGCGGCAGCCCGGUAGGCUCGCACGGCUCACUCGUCGCCCUGAUUUGCGUUGACUGCGGUAAAAUGUGUGGGGCUUGUUUCCCAUGUUCCCCAUUUUCAAGUGUACAGCUCAGUCGCACUGAGUACAUUCUUGUGGUUGUGCAACCAUCACCACCAUCACCACCUCCAGAACUUUAUCCUCUCCCCAGACUGAAACCCUGGCCCUGAAACUGUCACUCCCACCCCCUCCCAAGCCUUGGCACUCGCUCCCCAGCCCCGGCAACUGCUCCCCAGCCCCUGCACCCGCUCCCCAGCUCCGGCACCCCCUGCCAUCCUACCUUCUGUCUCUGUCUCCCGGGGCUGUUGCAAAGUGACCCCAAGCCUAGGAGUGCAAAGCGACUCACAUCUCACAGCUCUGGGGCUGGGAGCCCGACAUGGGCCUUGCUGGGCUAAAGUCAGGGCAGGGAUAGGGCUGGGCCCUCCUGGGGGCUCCAGGGGAGAACCAGAUUUCUGCCUUUCCCAAGGUCUAGAGGCACUGUAUCCCUCGGCUCGGGGCCCCUUCCUCCCCCUUUACAGCCACAGCGCAUCUUCUUCCAGUCUCUGAGUCUCACUCUCCCGCCCUCUCUCGGGAGGACCUCGGGGUGACAUCAGGCCCCCCGCCUCACCCAGGAUGCUUUCCCAGCUCCAGGUCCUUCACUCAGUCCCACCUGCCAUUUCUCCUCUGCUGUGGAUGGUGACGUCUCAGGAUGGUGCAGGUCUCAGGAUUCAGCUGUGGCCGAGGCCAUCUCAGUGGUCCCUCUCUUCCCAUUUCCUUCAGGCCACAUUCUUCCCAGGGCUUUCUCCCCAGCUCCCACCCUACGCUGGGGCAGCCCCUUGCCCCUAGACCUUCACUUGUGUCUCUUUGGUCCCCGCACUUAGCUCCAAGCAGGAGGAGGUGUCUUUCGAGUCAUCCGAGGCUGGGCUCCUGGUGGCCCGUGUACUCAGUAUGCAUUGUGUCAGUGGACACCAUGCCUCUAAAUUUUUUUGGUGACAGGAGCUCACCCUGUCACCCAGGCUGGAGUGCGGUGGCAUGGACAAAGGUCACUGCCUCCUUGAACUCCCAACUCCCAGGCCACGCCUAUGUUUUUAAUUUAUUUUGUUUAUUUUUAUUAUUUUUUUUUGAGAUGGAGUUUUGCUCUCGUUGCCCGGGCUGGAGUGUGCAAUGGCAUGAUCUUGGAUCACUGCAACCUCCACCUUCCAGGUUCAAGUGAGUCUCCUGUCUCAGCCUCCCAAGUACCUGGGAUUACAGGCACCCACCACGCCUGGCUAAUCUUGUAUUUUUAGUAGGGAUGGGAUUUCACCGUGUUGGUCAGGCUGGUCUCGAACUCCUGACCUUAGGUGAUCUGCUCACCUCAGCCUCCCAAAGUACUGGGAUUACAGGCGUGAGCCACCAUGCCCGGCCUAUUUUUUAAUUUUUUGUAGAGAUGGGGGUCUCACUGUAUUGCCGGGCUGGUCUUGAACACCUGGCUCAAGCGAUCCUCUUGUCUUGGCCUUCCAAAGUUCUGGGAUGACAGGCGUGAGCUGCCGCUCCCAGCCAGGAACCUCUCCUAAAGCCCUGUCUUGACUCAGUGCAGGGUGUGCUUGGUGGUGCCAGCUGGUCAUAUCUGGGUCCUGCCCAGCAUCAUUGAGGCUGGCGCCCUUGUACUGGCUCCGCCUCAUCCUCCCCACCUUGCCACUUGGGGUGUUGGGGACUUCAGGUGAGGCUCAUGCCUGUUGGGCCUCUGUUUUUCUCAGAACGGGGACGAUCAUGGCCCCCGCCUCCUGGAGUGAAGGCUGGGGACAGAAUUAGAGGACCCAGGUACAUGCUCAGCAGGAAGCCACUGAUCUGUGGGAGCCCUGGUCCCGGUGUCUUUGCCGGCCUCACACCCGCUUCCCUCUAGUUCCAGUUGUUCCUGAGUAAAGUGGAGGAGACGUUCCAGUGUAUCUGCUGUCAGGAGCUGGUGUUCCGGCCCAUCACGACCGUGUGCCAGCACAACGUGUGCAAGGUGAGUAGAGAUGGCCGCGGGAGCCGGGUGGAAGGUUCUGGAAGGAUGACCUGACCUCCCGUUCCCACAUGCCUGCCACUACAGACAGAGGCUUGUUGGCUUUGCUCCGCUCACUCUGCAGCUUUUCUCGGGGCCCUGUUGACUGCUUUCUGGGCAGCCUGUAUUACCACGGAGGCCUAUAACAUUCUCCCCCAAGUCCUGUAUGGUCAAGGGGCCAGGGUGGGAGAGGAUGGGCCACAGUCUUGGCCUAAGGUCUGGAGAGGAGGUGCACAUCCCCUAGGGGUCAGGAAAGAAGGCUUCUUGGAGGAGGUGGUGUUACCAGGCAGCAUCCCUUGUACCUGGGACAGCAGGUGAAGAAGCCUGGGUGGGAAGUCAGCAGCUGGGGCCUGCAGUGGCUCUGGGCACUGGGGUGGUGGCCUGCCAUGGGCUUUAAACUCAGGACAAGUGGUCAGUCGUAGGAGGGACACAAGAUCCCAGCUGAUGGUUUUUUUUUUUUUUUUUUUUUUUUUUUCUGAGACAGAGUCUCGCUCUGUUGCCCAUGCUGGAGUGCAGUGGCGCAGUCUCCACUCACUGCAAGCUCUGCCUCCCGGGUUCACGCCAUUCUCCCACCUCAGCCUCCCGAGUAGCUGGGACUACAGGCGCCCGCCACCGUGCCCGGCUAAUUUUUUGUAUUUUUAGUAGAGAUGGGGUUUCACCGUGUUAGCCAGGAUGGUUUCGAUCUCCUGACCUUGUCAUCCACCCGCCUUGGCCUCCCAAAGUGCUGGGAUUACAGGUGUAAGCCACCGCGCCCACCCCGCAGCUGAUGGUUUUCAAACCGAUUGGUUUGGGGCCAGGACAGGGUCUCUUCCCCCCUGUGCUGUGGGCCUUGGGGCUGGAUCAUUGUCUGGGGUGGGGCCGUCCUGGGCACUGCAGGGUGCUGAGCAGCAUCCCCGGCCCCCACCCACUCCAUGCCAGGAGCUCCCUGCCUAGUCGAGACAAUCACAGACAUCCCCAGACACCUUCCAGUGUCCCCUGGGGGCAGAACUGCCCAGGUGGGCAGUGUGGGUCUGGGUGAUGGUUUCUCUGCUGCAACCUCUGGCCAGAGCCGGCAGUCCCGGUGGACAGGUGUGGAAGGGACUGACCCUGCCACCCCACGGAUCUCCCCAGGCUUCUGAGUUGCUGGCGGUUUUCCUUCCAACUGCAGUCCCGCAGUCCUCUCAGCCAUGGGCCACACCCCCGGGUCUCAGACCCCGUGUUUGUUUUCAUGCCAGGAGGCAGCUCAGGGAAGGUCAGGAGAUGGGGUGUUCCCAGUCAUGCCCAUGGCAUCUCUGCCUCCUCGGGCCCCACCUGCCUCGCCCUGUGGCCUGAGUCCCUUCAGCUGUGUGGGCCUCCCUGAGUGCCCUGAGUGAGGUGGCAGAAGGGGUGAGAGGCCAUGGUGUCUUUGGGGCUGGUGGUCCGGGUCUGGCCAUCUGUCACCUCUCAGGCGUGCAGGCACUAAUCCCUCCAAGCCUCAGUUGGCCACAGUGAGAAGGGGCCUGGUAACACUGUCCUGGAUGCCAGGUUGUUGUGAAGGUCCCGGCUUAGCCUCUGGCAGGAAGGAGGUGCUCAGGAGGUGGGCACAGGCAGAGGGCUGGCUGUGGGGGGCUAUUGGAAGAGGGAGGCCUGGGAGCCCCGUGGCGGUAGGAAGGACUGUGGGGACAUUGGAAACCAUCUGUCCUGUGCAUCGGUGUGAAGGCGCGGAAGCGCUGAGGAUGUGAAGGAAGGGGCUAACCAGCAUCACGGUGUCCCCACAAUCUGUCCUUGUUGCUCUGUUCCAACUUGGGAAGCUCAGCAUCGGAGGGGUUCUGGGAAACAGGCUGUGACCUUCCACCUUGAUCUUUUUAAAUUAUAAACUUGAGGCCAGCCGUGGUGGCUAAUGCCUGUAAUCCCAGCACUUGGGGAGGCUGAGGUGGGAGGAUCACUUGAGGUCAGGAGUUUGAGACCAGCCCGGGCAACAUGGUGAAACCCCAUCUCUACUAAAAAUUAAAACAAAAUUAGCUGGGUGAGGUGACAGGUGCUACUCAGGAGACUGAGGUGGUAGAAUCGCUUGAACCUGGGAGGUACAGGUUGCGGUGAGCUGAGAUCGCGCCAUUGUACUCCAGCCUGGGCGUCAGAGCAAGAUUCUGUCUCAAAAAAAAAAAAAAAAAAUUGAAAAAAACAUUCAGAGACAGCAUCUCACUCUGUCGCCCAGGCUGGAGUGCAGUGGUGCCAUCAUAGCUCAUCGCAGCCUUGAACUCCUCGCGGGGCUAAAGAGAUCCUCCUGCCUUAGCCUCCUGAGUAGCUGGGGCUACAGGCAUACACCACCAUGGCCAACAUGAUGAAACCCUGUCUCUACUAAAAAUACAAAAAUUAGCCAGGUGUGCUGGUGGGCGCCUGUAAUCCCAGCUACUCAGGAGGCUGAGACACGAGAAUCCCUUGAACCCGGGAGGUGGAGGUUGCAGUGAGCCAAGAUCACGCCACUGCACUCCAGCCUGGGCGACAGAGCGAGACUCUAUCUUAAAAAAAAACAACAAAAACAAAAGCCACAGGCUGCCUGGGGCAGGUGACUGUGCUGUGGUCACCAGGCCUCUCCCCCAUGUGGUCACCGCCCUCGCCCAGCUGUGUGACGACAUGCUGCAGACAUGUGCCCCCUGCGUAGGCAUCUGUGCACCUGUGUACGGCGUGUCACUCCUCCCUGGCGUGCAGCCAGCCCGGUGGCAUCUUCCCUGUUUGUCUGCUUGGGAAGUGGAGACUCCAGGCCUCUCAGCUCUGUCUUCUCCUGGCUUUCUUCCCCAGGCACGACUUGGUUGAUUGAGCUUGAAGUUAGGAAUCUGAAUCCACCAGACUUGGUUCCUUCCUCCUUUUCCCCUUUCUUCUCAUUGACGUGUAUGUUUAUUUUUUAUUUUUUUCGAGACAAGGUCUUGCUUUGUCGCUCAGGCUGGAGUGCAAUGGCGUGAUCAUGGCUCACUGCAGCCUCAGCCUGCCUCCCUGGGUUCAGGUGAUCCUCCCACUUCAGCCUCCGGAGUAGCCACGCCCGGCUAAUUUUUUUGUUUUUGUUUUUUCUUUGAGACGCAGAGUCUUGCCCUGUCACCCAGGCUGGAGUGCAAUGGCGUGAUCUCAGCUCACUGCAACCUCCGCCUCCCGGGUUCAAGCCAUUCUCUUGCCUUAGCCUCCCAGGUAGCUGGGAUUACAGGCAUGUGCCUGGCUAAUUUUUGUAUUUUUAGUAGAGACAGGGUUUCACCAUGUUGGCCAGGCUGGUCUUGAACUCCUGACCUCAAGUGAUCUGCCCCCCUCGGCCUCCCAGAGUGCUGGGAUUACAGGCAUGAGCCACGAUGCUUGGCCUGAUGUGUGUGUUUAUUAAGCAUCUACUGUAUACACUGUGCUUGGUGUUGAGAGAGAACACAGCCUCAAAGCUCAGGGAGCAUCUGCCCUGUUGUAGAUAAGAUAAGCACAUUAAUAAUAUAUAACACGGCUCCACAGGUGGAAGGAGAGGUGCCGUCUUGAAGGCAGAUGGGGUGAGGGGAUGGGACUGCCUCUAGGGAGGUGUCAGGGAAGGCCCCAUAAGGGAGGUGACUUGAGCUGAGCUGUGAGUGAUGAGAGCCGGGGGACCGAGCUGUUAAGCUGCAUGACCUGCCAGGGACAAAAGCCUGGAGGCCGGGUGAGCUUGGAAUCUUUGAGGGCCCCUAGGGGGGCCAGGCUGGUGAUGGGCAGCAGGUGGAAAGUGAGACUGAAGGUCAGAGGGGCCUCUGGACCUGGUGAGACUGUCCCCACAGUCCUGGGAGAGGUGGCCAGGAGCAAACCUGAUGGUGUGGAUGGCACUUCUCACGCGCCUGCUGUGUCUUACAGGACUGCCUGGACAGAUCCUUUCGGGCACAGGUGUUCAGCUGCCCUGCCUGCCGCUACGACCUGGGCCGCAGCUAUGCCAUGCAGGUGAACCAGCCUCUGCAGACCGUCCUCAACCAGCUCUUCCCCGGCUACGGCAAUGGCCGGUGAUCUCCAAGCACUUCUCGACAGGCGUUUUGCUGAAAACGUGUCGGAGGGCUCGUUCAUCGGCACUGAUUUUGUUCUUAGUGGGCUUAACUUAAACAGGUAGUGUUUCCUCCGUUCCCUAAAAAGGUUUGUCUUCCUUUUUUUUUUUAUUUUUAUUUUUCAAAUCUAUACAUUUUCAGGAAUUUAUGUAUUCUGGCUAAAAGUUGGACUUCUCAGUAUUGUGUUUAGUUCUUUGAAAACAUAAAAGCCUGCAAUUUCUCGACAAAACAACACAAGAUUUUUU
rnacentral:lncRNA from 1 species